UGUUUUUGUAAACUCGCCAGUCCCCAGUUAUUAAUGCAAACCACAAGAAACUGUUUCAAGUAGGAUUUGGUCUCACAGUUUCCACCUUGAAUCUGACAUAGUCUACCUGGGAAGAUUGCAGGAAACCAUAAAUAAUUCCUAAUUCCUAAAGUGGGUCUAUGCAUAAUAAAGACUUUUUUUUUUUGCUAUUAAAAAAAAACCGCCAGGAGGCUGGGAACCAGGCAUCCAGGCCGGCGGGCUGCCUCAGACGACGCUGCCCUCUGUGCACUAGCAGGCGGCCGGGCAGCACGAAGGACCGUGCAGGGGGCGGGGGCGGGGGACUGGCCCGCGUUCUCCGGCCACGGGCGGGCACCGGACAAGGCGCCUGAAGCCUCCCUCCUUAUCCCGAGCGGGAGGAGGGACGGCCACAGUGCGGCCCGAAAGCGGCGCCUGCACCGCCACCUCCGUCACCGGCCUGAUCCAGGGUCUGCGGCCCCCCGCCGCCUGGCAGGCCCCCGGCGACCCUGGUCCGCUGGCGUCCCCGCAGGAGGUUCCCCGCGGCGCGCGCACGGCGGGCGCUGCCUGGCCUUCGGAGGGGCGUCCCGAAAAGGGCCCUGGACGACGAGCAAGAGACCAAUGACAAACAUUUCCCAAACUGGCCCUAGCCUGUGGACCAGACCUUGACCAGCAGCACUUCUGGGCAGUGUUUGUCCCUGGGGGCGAAGAGGACUGAUGGUCAGAGCCGACCCUUAUUCCACUCUUACUCUCUGGCACAGCACCCUCGUGAACCCCCCAGCACAUAGUUGCAUAUUCUUCGUUGUGGGUCCUUCUACUUGUGACAUGUGGGACGCUGCCUCAGCGUGGUUUGAUGAGCAGCGUCAUGUCCCCGCCCAGGAUUCGAACCAACGAAACACUACGCCGCCUGCAGCGGAGCGCGAGCGAACUUAACCACUCGGCCACGGGGCCAGCCCCCCAAAUGCUUUUGAAAGGACAGUGGCACUCUUCAGGGUGUCCCCUUGCUCCUGCUCACCUUCUAUAUGCAUGCAUGGUCCACCGCCACACCAUGCUGUGAAGUGACAAGAAUGACAGCAUUUGCAGGAAAUGUACAUUGCAACAUGACAAAGCAAGAAACACCUUUUGCAAAAAGCGUUAGAAGUUAAAGGACUGGCUGGUAAUGCCUCGGACAUCAGUUCUUAUCCUUCUGCUUUUGCAGUUGCUGAAUGUUGAAACAAGUCAGCUUGAAGUCGGGUAAUAAAUGGAUUCCAGCUUGAAUCUUGGCAGGAUUUGUUUUGCUUGAGGGAAGUUGUUUAUGCUAAGGGGUGCCCCCCCUGCAUAGUUCGAUUUAUAUUAUACAAAGUCUUGUCCAUCAUCUGGAUGCUGUUGUAAACAAUGUAAUCUUUGUCUACCAGGAAUGAGCCCAAUGCCAAUAACUUUAAAUAAACACAAGCACCAGUUUUGUAUUUACAUUGUCUGAGGCAAGCGCUGGCAGGAGUUUUUAAUGGCGCCGUCGGCCCCUCCCUGCCUAAGGUAGUGUCGGCUGUCGGGACUGACCUGAUUUGUGGAGAACUCACUCAGGGAAAGAUUUCAUACUUAGCAGAUGAGUGCGACACCCAGCCUGCAUUCUUUUGUGGGGUUUUGGCAUAUUUUAAUUCCAUCAAGUGAGCACUGCAUCUUCUUGUGCUGGAUGGAGCAGGGCGGGGGUUGAGGGAAGACCUUAGACCUGUAACGUGCAAUCAUGCACUUGAGCAACUGAGGCCGUCAACAGCAAGGCUCUGGGUGUCAGCGGGCUCUGAGGAUUCCAUUACUAACAUGGCUCUGACUCUGCUCCAUGGAAGACAUCGAUGCGUUGAGUUGCAUUCCAUGCAGAAAUCAAUGGAAUUUUGCAAAAGUUUGGAUGUCUGUUGCAAUUCCAAACCAAGCAAGUAGAGAAACAUACCACUCUUCAAUAGUGAUAAAUUAUCUUUGUGGAGGAGUAAAGAGAAAAGCAAUUUUGC
rnacentral:lncRNA from 1 species